UCUUGGUCAUUUAGAGGAAGUAAAAGUCGUAACAAGGUUUCCGUAGGUGAACCUGCGGAAGGAUCAUUACAGAGUUCAUGCCCUCACGGGUAGAUCUCCCACCCUUGUGUAUUAUAAUUAUCUGUUGCUUUGGCGGGUCGCGAGCUUGUCUUGCCUGCGCUUCGGCGUGGUGUACCCGCCAGAGAACCACAAACUCUGAAUUUUAGUGUCGUCUGAGUACUAUAAAAUAGUUAAAACUUUCAACAACGGAUCUCUUGGUUCUGGCAUCGAUGAAGAACGCAGCGAAAUGCGAUAAGUAAUGUGAAUUGCAGAAUUCAGUGAAUCAUCGAAUCUUUGAACGCACAUUGCGCCCCUUGGUAUUCCGGGGGGCAUGCCUGUUCGAGCGUCAUUAUAACCAAUCUAGCUCAGCUAGGUCUUGGGCUUCGCCGUCUGGCGGGCCUCAAAAUCAGUGGCGGUGCUCUUAGGCUCUACGCGUAGUAACUUUCUCGCUAUAGGGUCCUGGGAGAUGCUUGCCAUCAACCCCAAAUUUUUCAGGUUGACCUCGGAUCAGGUAGGGAUACCCGCUGAACUUAAGCAUAUCAAUAAGCCGGAG
rnacentral:sRNA from 1 species